rnacentral:lncRNA from 1 species
GGAAGAUGUUGAAAGCAGUGGACUGGGAUCCAGGGGAUGUAGAUUAAAUUCCUUGUCUCUGCUGCAAACUUCCUGUGUGGCCUGGAGCAAACUGCAGCACUUGGUCUGUGUUUUAGUUUCAGACACGUGUGGGGUGCAGCUAAUGAGCCCUUUCUCCUGCCCUUUGUCUCCUUACUCUUCUUAGAGAUGUUCUUUAGAGAAGGUCUGCAGAGAUUCUCUGGGGCACAUGGAAGUUUCAAUGGGAGGCCCAAAACACAGUAAGGUGUGUUUCUUUAGUGAAGAGAAGCUAGAGAACUUAAUCUCAUAUCACAGGAUCUGAAGCUGCCCAGCUGGAAGAGCAGAGAAUGGAAGUGUUGAGGGCAUUCAUGAGCAAGACAUGCCAGAUUCUGCUAUCACUCCUACUGGUAGCAGAUUGCUGCUGCACAAAGAGGAAAACAUCUCAGCCAGAAAAACUUCCUAGGCCAUGGCAGUAAAAUGGACAGAGAAGAGAGUCACCAGAAAGGAAGCGAGGAAACCAGAAACAAGACCACUGACACUUUGUUUCAUCCAAGGAAGUGGCAAAUCCUUUGACCUCCAAAAGGCAAACACCACCAGGAACUGCUCAGGGAACUUAGAAAGCUCAGCCUUCAAUCAAAUUGGCUUGAAACUGGCUAACUGAUUCAGAAGUUACUGGGAAGACACAAAGGUACACAAGUACAGUGUGAUAAUACAACCUCUGCUUGUUAUCAAAGCCAGGCUAAAAGAUAGUCUGAUUACUCCAAAGAAGAUAACAGAAACUGUCAGGAAUUGAUUGUUAUUUAUGGUCUGAUUUCAAGGUAGACUCUAAUUUACUUAAAAUACAUAUAUAUAUAUAUAUAUAUUUCAAAUCCAAGUUUGCACCCUGUAGACGUUUUAAAUAGUUAUGAAUUUGAAGAACUCUAAAUUUGCAGGAUUUGUUGAGAUUGAUUUGGAAGAAAACCUAUAAAAUUUAGAAACUAUGCAUUUCUUUUGACAACUAAUAAACUUGUAACUUCUAAUAACAGUGGGUCUCAAGCAAUCAAAAUAUAGCACUUUAAAAUACCUAUUUUAGCUAUUUUGUAGUACAAGAGUUUAGGAAAAAAAGUAUAUUAUUCCACACUAAAUGUUAUUAAAUGAAUGAUUCUCUAUGAAAACCAAAACCCUAAGGGAUUUUGUAUUAGAUUUGCAUAAAAAAAUCUUCACAUUUAUUCAAACUUUGCAGGUGCAUGAAAUAAACACAUUAUUUGAACACUACUGCCAAGCUUUGUGAAGGCUAAGGUGUAUUAUUAAAUUGUAGUGAAGCCUCUGGCUCAAGACACCAGAAACACUAGCACAACUCCAUUCAGUCAUUAGCACUGUGUUGGUAAAAAAAACUGGUUCACCAUCUAGAUGAAUAAUUCUCUGUGCUUUCAUCUCUGCCAUGCUGACUUGCUUUACUAAUUUGUUAUCCUCUUGAACGUUCAGAGGCAUUUUCACUUUUCUGUAUUUUCUAUCUUACAUUGCUUUCUGUUAAGUACCUGUAAGUGAUUCACUGGGGGAUGACAUAAGGUUUUUUCUGAAAUUGAACUAUUGCUUUGUUUGCUGUAGAGAAUAUUAAAUUAAAUCAGCUUCUAAGACAAAAAUGAGCAGUUCGUAUAAAACUUGCUCUGAAAGGUUAAUGAAUAUCAGAAAUCCUCCCAAGUGAAGGAAGGGAGACUAUACCUAGCCAAUAUAAAACUUAUGCAGCAAAACCUGCUCCUUUAAUGUAAUUCUUCUGAUUUCAGUGAGGUUACACUCAGAAUAAAUUUGACCUGAAUUAAUCAAACCUAUCCUAUUUUCAGGAGAGGUCCAAUAUCCAACAAGGAAACAAUACCCUUCACACGCCAGUAGUUUAUUGGCAAAGUCAAGGUCAUUGUGUGGUCAUAAAACAGUAUGGCUUAUUUCUGCUAUGACAUCUGUUUGACUAGCUCAAACCAAAAUUUUUUAUUAAGGCAUUUGAGGAGUAUAAAAUAUACACAAAAACUGAAAGCUACUACAAUAAGAGGAAAGUUCAUUGUGAAUUAAAUUAAUUCUGUAUUUAAGAAAAAAAUGUGAAUGAAUGAUGUUUUUGAUACCUUACAAGUGUUAGUUAUUAACCAGAGAGUGAGAUCAGUUCUCAUAGGAGAGUAACAGUCAGACCAAAAGAUGACAACACAGAAAUGUAACCUGUGCGUUUACCAUUCAGUCUUUUAUAAAAGGACCAGAAAAUAACUCUGGGUGCAAUUUCAUUUUAUUUAUUUAUUUUUUUAAGAAAUUCAGCAGUUGAGGUGUUCAGAGGCAGGAAGACAAUGAGACAAUUUGUAGCAAAUGACAGAUAAACCAUAAUUCUUAGAAAACAUAAUUGGAGUAACUUCAGUGACCUUUUCUAUACAAAGCUGAUCCUUUAUGUGGAAGACAUCUGUAUUUCCUUUGAGAAGAGCACCUGGAGGAAUUAAGCUCCUAUUUAAGAUACCUCAUCUGAAAGCCUAAAAAGUGAGCGCAUCCUGACCAGUGCAUCCUUUUGCCUUCACUGUGCAAACUUACUUUUCAUGUUUUUACAGAGUUAUUUUAGAUUUAUAUACAAAUAUGAAGUGCAAAAUGAAUGUAACCCAGCAUGUUUAUCCUAUUCAUAGUGUUGGAUGAGGCUCCGCUACAUCUAUGCUUCAGUAAAGAUUGUUAAUUUGGUAAAACUUUCAAGAUCAUGAAACACUGUCUGUGCACUGAGCCAAGCAGUCACAAAGCCUACAUCCCUUACAGAGCACAGCACAAGGGCAGGAUGGUGUUACAGCAGAAUACCACUGCACCAUUGUCAUACUUGCGCACUCCUUGCCAGGUAUCUGCCAGAAAGACCUGAGCCUGGGUUGCACUGACGUGUGUGCUGUCAUAGUUCAACCUGUGUUCUGUUUUGUUUUGGUUUUGUUUGUGGGUUGGUUUUUUUGUUUGUUUGUUUGUUUGUUUUGUUGUUGUUGUUUCAAUUUUUUUCUUUUGUUUGUUUUACAUUUUAAUGAAAGAAAAGCGUCCAAAUCUUCCAAUUCAAUUUAAAGAGUGGAUGAUAUGGGGUUGGAGGAAUACCCACAGCUAGACAUUGCUAAGGCUAUGAGGAUGUGAGGAGGAGAAAGGCCAAAAGCAAUGCUAGACAUAAGGGUGCCAUUUAAAACAUGUUGGUAUUAGACAACAGUCAUGAAGGGUAUCUCUUAGGCCAAGUCAUAUCUCUGUGCCAGGAGACGUUUACAUGAUACUUGUCAAGUUCCUUCAUCAGUUCUUGGAGUCAAUGCAGUUUCUUGGAAUCAGUGCAGUUUUAAGUUAUCCAGUGUAAAGAGAAUUUUCCUCUCUUUCUGGUGUAGUCUGGUGUAGCUCAGCAAACACUCCCACACUGCAUCUGGGGUAUCACUCCAUGCAUUCUUCCUCUCAGUCUCAUACUGCUGUAUGGGGAGGAGGAUUCAGCAGACAUUGGAGGUCAACUUCUUAUGGAACAACACAGUCACCACCAUUAACUAUGCAUUUUCACCAAAGGUGAACAAAAGCCUGCAUGUCGUGCUCAUCAUAAUCUGCACCAGCGGAGGUUAACCACUGUCAUCAGGGGACUAAUGUUUAGCCAGUGUAUCAAAAUCCAUAAACUUAUUUUCAAUAACCUGAGCUGGUACUGCACUGCCCUCUGUGCCCUGGUUUCAGCCCAGAUGGGGUUAAGAGCACACUGAUGAUCAGUUGGUGCUGAAGGCCAGGCCAGGCAGAGAAUAGCCACCCUGUGAUGGCACGAGUCAGGGGGCAGCCGCAGCAUGAGCUGUGCUGGGCUAAAUGUGGCCUGCAAGCCACAGCGUGGACAUGCCUGACUAAACAGACAAGGUACCCCUUUCCUCGUCUCUUUACCACUCUUCGCUGUCAGAUCAGAAACAAAAUACAUUAGUUGGUAGCCUGUGUUUUCCUAUCCUGAAAAGAAAUACAUUAGAAAAUGGAGUAAAAAGUAUGAGUAAAUGUUUCUCAUUGUGCUAUUUGUAUUCUGUCUUUUGCAGAGUAUAUUAUAAUGGAUAAAAGGAAUAUUACAUCACCAGAGGCAGAAAUUCAGUGCAUGGUUCACUGCAGAUUACAGAGCCUGAAAAAGCAAAACAAAGACAGUAAACAUGUUGCCUUUUGUUCAUACAACAUAACUAUAGCAGCAAUGACUAGUGGGAAAUUUCUCAACUAACCCUUCAAAUGUAUAUACAUUUUAUAAGCUUCUUGAAAAUUACAGUAAACUUGGAGAAUACUAUUUCUGCAAGCUUUUUGUACUUGAGUAACUCAACGACAGCAUCUUUAACAGAUUUUUACUGGCAUAUUAUAAAUGACGAAUAUAUAUUAUAUCAACACAAAUGCCAAGAAAAAACAACAACAGAAACAACACAGCCCUCCCACCCAAAUCACAUAAUAUAAAGGCAAAUAGCAUUGCUUCCUCCUCACCAGAACUCAGUUGCAUGAUGUGCUUACAGGAAUCAAGCAAAACAGUGAUGUUCAUAUAGUUCAUACAAUUUUGAGUAUCAUAGAUAUGAGCAAGCUGAUUCCAGCUGAGACAUAAACUAUAUUCCCAUGUUUCUGUAUUCACACUAGGCUGGGCAAUCUGAGUAUUACUGUUGUGAUAUUGAGUCUUCUCAAUCGUAGUAAAAUUUUAAGUUCAUUUUUUUCUAACUGGAAUUCCUUCUGAUUUUUGUUCUUAAUUGAAAGAAAGCUAAAGCCCCACAAAUAAUUCUUCUCUACCUAGGUUAAGGCACUUGUUUUUUUUAUCUCAUUACAGAUUUGUAAAAGUAAUUAUUAACACUGCUUUCCUGCUUCUGUUUUAGGAACUAAGAAUAAAUUCCUGCUUACCGUUACAGCAGGAGUGGAGAGAAAAGCAUAUUUAAAAUCAGGUGAAAAAUAUGAGAUACAAAGGAAGACAGAGUUUGUUCUGCAACUGGCUUUACUGGUCUCUUCUAGGAGUUGCCCAAGUCUCCCUGUCUCAGCCUGAAUUCCAGGGGGAUGCCAUGCCACCAUAUCUACACAAAUAAUUGUGCUGUUUCCUUCACCUCAUUUGCAAUGUCACCAGAGGUCUGCAGUUUCCCAUUUUGAUCAAUCCUUCUUUUGAAUUAUCAUGCUCAGUUAGGGCUGUUGCCUGGGGUUAAGCAAGAACAUUUCCUAUUGUGCAGGUCCUCUUCCCAUCGUCUAGUGUGGAUGGUAGACACAGUAACCACAGGUUGCAGCAAAACAUUGGAUGAACAGAUAAUACUUGAGUAUUGAAGUUAAAAACAUGAAAAUUAGUCUCAAUCUUUCACUAUUAAUUUUCCUCCCCCCCCCAAAAAAAAAAGAAAAAAAGAAAAAAAAAGAGUUUAUUGAGCUGCAAGCUGCAGGUGUCUUGCUUUUAAAUUGAGCUUUCAUUGCACUUUAUAUUUGUCCUUAGGUGGAUAACCUCUUUGCUCCAUAUAAAGACCCUACAAGUGAAAUUUUCACACUGUGCCAUUUUAAAAAAUUCUUCUCUCUCGUCUUUCAAAUGUCUGUUUAGAGCUAGUCAUGCUAAAGCUUCUACUACUAAUCAAUGCAGAGAGCAUGUUCUGGUCAUUCACUGUGUCACCACUUUAAAAGGAGAAAAAGACAAACUACUGACAUCUUCAUAACAAGUUACACCAAACUGUAAAUCAGAGGAAAAUUAUUCAUGCUGUGUUCUGGAUGUGACAUAUUUAACUUCAGCCCAGGUUCUCUCUCAUGCUCCACCUGAAUUGUAAAGCAGAUAUCUCAAAUCUAAAAAUUCUUGACAGAGAUAAAAGAGAAAAACUACUCAUGCCAUCAGUGUGGACCAGAAUAUCAAAACACUUUCAGAUUUGCAGGAUAACCAAGACGGGUAUGUUCUACCCAUUCUUAUUCAUUUCUCCAGGUACCAGCACCCAGAUGCAGUAAAGGAGAAAUGAGUCAUGAAAACCCAACCCAUGAAAACCCAACCCAUGAAAACCUAGGCAUUCGGACAGAACAAAGAACAGUAUUUCUUUUGUACUGGGAAGUUAGAAGAGCCAUAACUCUAAUUUUUGCAGCCGGAGUGUCACCAAACAAAAGAGAAAAGAAAUGUUUAUUUGUUUUGUUUUGUUUACUUUCCUAAAUAAGUACUGGAUCUGUUAUUUCUAUCUUUUUUUACAGUAUUUGUGUGGCCUUCUUUGUCAUUUUCGCAUCUUGAAAAUAUUUACAAAUAGAAAUAAUAUGCACUACUCCAUGUGACACAGCUUUCCUGUUAAUGAAUUGAUUUUCAAGAUCACACAAGAUGGUUUUUCUUUGGAUAUUUCAUUCCAAAACCCAGGCAAGUGACCCAGUACUCCCACCAAUAUCUCACUGACAGUCAUCCCACCUCAUGAAUAUACAUACACAAGCUAGCCCAGACUACCUACCUCUUAUCUUGCCUUUUCACCAGUGUUUCUGAACUUGUUGAACCUGUCUAGGUUAGAGUGAAACAGGUAAGGAAAUUACCUAAUUUAUAUUGUCUGGCUGUAUAUUUUCUAAGUCUGAAACAAACAAAUAUUUUAUUUUCAACGACUUUUGAAUGAUUUUUAGUAUCAUUUUCAUGCUUCCAUUUUAUUUCAAGAUGCACAUGAUUUGCUAUAUUUCUGGAAAUAUGGAUAAGCAGUAAUAAAAACUAUUGUCCCAGGGAAAAACAAUAGCUAAAGCAUCUAGUAAUGAAAGAGACUGAAACAGAUCACCAUUGUCAAUCUAUCUUCAGGUAAUUCUCUCUUACAGGAAAUGUGGCUUGCUGAAUUAAUGAGCAACUCCUGGGAUUUUGGUUGGGCAAUCCAAGCCAAUAUCUAUGCUGGUUAAGAUCUUCACUGUCAAUGAAAACAGGAUUAUAUUUUGGAUUCACAGUCUGAACUAAAAACACCAAAGUAGAUGCCAGUGUGUUUGGAUCAGGCAAGUGUUCCUUCUUGGCACCCCCUUUUCUCCACUUUGAAAAUAAAUUUCAGUUUCAGUUUUAUACUAGACAAUUUCUUCGCUGCUACUCACCACAGUUUUCUGUUUCCUUAGAAAGGACAUAAUGCCCUGAGAUACACAGUCAUUGAUGACACCCUCUUUCCUGAACAUAAGCCUUAUGAUGUGCAAGAAUUUUUAACAGUAACCUCUGAAUUGGAAACAUAUUCAAAAAUAGAGACACAGAAUGAGGUAUGACCCUAGAGAUGUAUACACAUUCUUUUCUUCAGUUAACUGUUACUCUGUGGUCUUCAGGAGGAUAUUGAUGUGAAAAGGUUAUUCGUGUGCAUAAGUAUCUGUAGCUGAGCCAGACUUACAGAGUGUAAAGAUGUGCAAGCCUGGUUAUAGGAAUGGAGCUUCACCUCUCUGGCCUUCACUUCAUUCUUAGUGGAGAGAAAGAUGCAAUUCCAGAGGACAAAUUGUGCCAUUCAUAUCAGCUUGGAAUGUGUUACUAACCCGUCUGGAACUGAAUAUAUGAAAGUACUUAAUUACUGUUUCAUCUUACCGAAUCAGCCUGUUUGUCAAUCCUUGGGAAGGUAAAUCCUGUAAGGCUCCUGAUAUUUUAAAUUUCUGAGUAGAUUCAGAAGACUCACACAAAAUUUCUACUAAAAAUCCCUGUCUUUCAAAUGUCCUUCGACAUACAUACAUUUGUUUUAAAUACAUUUGUACAAAGCAGAAUAACAGACUAAGAGAUACUUUGCCAGACAACAAUAAUUUUCCUUGGGCCAGCAUUUUAAAAUGAACUGUAAAUAUAAUUCUGAAUCUCAGAAUUAUCUUAUUUGAAUCUGCAUACCUGCAGUUCAACAGAUCAACAUGAUUAAAUGGAUCCAUGAUAUAUAUAUCCACUGAUAUACUGUCCUGAAUAACUUCAACUGACAUUGACCUUUCUUUAGCUUUUUUUUUUUUUCUGUUUCUUUGUGAUAUACUUUGAUCAUAUGUAAGAAUAUACUUUUUUUUAAGGCUUUCAAUUACAAUACAGAACUAUUAUUAUUAACUAAUUAAUUUCAUAGAAUAGAAUCAUAGAAUGGUUUGGGUUGGAAGGGACCUUUAAGAUCACCUAGUUCCAAUCCCCCUGCUGUAGGCAGGGAUAUGUCCCUCUACACCAGGUUGUUCACAGCCCCAUCCAGCCUGGCCUUGAAUGCGUCCAGGGAAGGGUCAUUCACAACCUCACUGGGCAACCUGUUCCAGUGUCUCACCACCCUCACAGUUAAGAAUUUCUUCAUAAUAUCUAAUCUAAAUCUACCCUCUUUCAGUUUAAAACCAUUUCCCCUCAUCCUGUAGCUCUUACAAAAAGUCCCUCCCCAGCUUUCCUGUAGGCAUACUUCAGGUACUGGAAGGCCACUAUAAGGUCUCCUCAGAGCCUUCUCCAUACUGAAGCACCCCAGCUCUCUCAGGCUGUCCUCAUGUGGGAGAUGUUCCAGCCCUCUGAUCAUCUUCAUGGUCCUCCUCCGGACCUGCUCCAAUACAUUUCAAAUAUUUACUCUUAUUCUUACUUACUACAUCUUACACUGGCUUUUUCUUUUUCUUCCAUUUAAUCUCCAAGGUUCAGGCCCUCUUAUAGCAAUGUAAGGAAGCAUUUAAUACAAUACUUUAAUCAUCACUUGGGGUAAUGUUUUCAAACUAAAAGGUAGGAGAUUUAGAUUACACAUCAGGAUUUCUUUUUUCUCAGAGGGUGGUGAGGCACUGGCACAACUGCCCAGAGAAAUUGUGAGUGCCCCAUCCCUGGAGGUAUUGGAAACCAAGUUAGAUGGGGCCUGGGCAGCUGAGCUGGGGGGUGGCAGCCAUGCCCAAAGCAGAGGUUGGAACUAGGUAGACUUUAAGGUUCUUUCCAACCCAAGAUAUUCUAUGAUUCUGUGAUAAAAUACCAAUUUUCAAUUUGUUUUUAGUAUGUAAUUAUAUUACAGCAAAAACCUAUUAAAAACUUUGAGAUAUAAUUUUAUUUUUAAUAACAUUUUUUGAUAUGUGAUUAGCCUACAGUUGUUUUUCUUGCCAACAUUCUUUUUUUUAUUAUUAUUAACAAUCAAAAAGAUAAUAAGAAUCCUAUGGAACUGGUGGUCUAAAAGAACUGUAUAUAACUUCAAGUUUACACACUACAUCUAACAGAAACACUGAUUCACAUUUGGCAAAUGCAGCCAACUCUCAUUUAUCCUUAAGCAGGUAAUGUGCUCUGUUGAUCAUCCGUGCUAGGGAUACAAAACAUCAAGUCCAGCAGGGCAUUUAGUGAUACACGAAGCACAUUGUUAAUACAGCUGUACUGCUUCCAGGGCUGGAACAGACCCAGAUGUACACCUACUUUCCCACAGAGCUUUGAGUAAUAGGCUCAAUGGAUCCAAGUUUUAUCUGUGCAUGAGUUAAAGUUCACAAUCAAGAAUUCUGGAGAAUAGCCUGAGUCUUGCAAGCCCAGCACUGAAACAGGAUUUGUAACAUUGGCUGGCUCCUUGCAAUGGUACUUCUGCAUUAUAUUGUACAGACCCUGAUCUACUUGUUUUAUUCAUUCUUUUCCAUUAUGUAGCACAGCUGAGCUGUCUGUUACUCUGGAUUCUAUCAAGAUGUAAGAAGCAGUAUGAACACUGCAUAGAGAUUGUGUGAUCGUAUUCCAUACUUAGCACAUGACAGAUAGGGAAAAGUUUUCCAUGCUGUAUUGAACAACAGCCAAGGAACUAAUCCAAAGUCUACUGAAUCAGUGGGUAUCUUCUUGACUUAGAAUAUGCAGCCAGAGAAAUGCUUCAAUAGCCUGAGAGAGAUGUGUGCUCUAAGGGAGUCAAAGCAAAUGUUUUAAGAGAUUAAUUGCUCUAAUCAGUAAAUUCUACAGUAAAUAGAUACUAUUUAAUGACUGCAGAUGUUGCUUUGUGAACUCCUGGAGUAAUUGGGGUGGUGCCUAAAAAGCUGUCUCAUCGGUUUUAUACUUGAAUUUUAUUGGUAGUUGAGUGUUUUUUCAAUAGGAGCAACUAUUUAUAUCAGUUAUUUAGUAUGCAUACCUUACAAAUGAAACAGAUUAAUGUUAGUCAGUCAUAAUGUAAUUUUAAAGUAAAAUUUCUUGUAACAUUAGUCCACAGACCACCUCUAAAUUAAUAUCUGCAUUGAAAAUGUAAUUGAUUUUCUUUUUGUCUGUCAACAUUACCAUCAAUUUAGCCCUCCUGAAAGAGAAACUGAAGUUUCUUACUUAGAAGGACAGUAAGAAAAAUCAGCAACACUUCGCAGUCAAGGAGAAGGGUCAUUUAUUUUUUUCAUGCACGUUAUCCUUCUUACAGUCACAAAGAAAUAUACUGCACUAAAACUGAAAUGAUCUGUUGCUAGUGUUUAUUGCUCUUUUCUACAGAUUUUAUUGGAUCUCUACAAGGAAUACGAAAUCAUUCAGCAACAGUUUCAGAGGUGCCAAGUUAUGCAGCAUAAAUAGAUUAAUUCAAUUGUGUCUCUAUUGCUGUGAUUGUAGGAACCAAGUUAUCCUAAAUUAUGAACAAGCUUGAGUGACACAAUAGUUCAGUGUCCCCUGAGUCAUUUAGGACACCGACAAAGCACAGACAUCAUCAGACAUCAGUUUGGGUCCUGCUGAGUGCACUGUAGCAUUGAUGAGACCGCUACUUAGGACGCCAGCAACAUCCUCCCUUUUUCUUACCAGGGCUGGCCCCAGCACAGGAGCCUCCUCAUCCCUACAGGAAGAGAGCAAGGACAGCUGCUCUUCCUGGAGUUAGUUUGGAUCAUGCACGGCAGAAGCUCCACUGGGCCUGACACUUGUUAAGGAGAAUUUCCCUUCCUUGUCUGAUUAGCAAUUCCUGAAAUAGAAACAUAUACAUUUCCACAGAAAAAUAAUGUGAUCUCUCCAAAAUUCACUACUCCAGAAUGGUAGCAGGUAGAAAUAAAAGCAAUAGGUGGGACACUGCGCUUUAUCUAAUAAACCUGUCUGAGCCAAGAUUGCUGUAAGUUUUGGAUUAUGGAUCUGUGACCUGCAUAACUUGAUGUCAAUCAAAUGCAAGUUUAUCAUACAACUCCAACAUAAAAAUCGUUGAUGUUCAAGUAAGAACAACACAAGUGUACGGCAUUAGAAGUGUAUUAAGUAAAAAACAGGGAAAAAAUUAAAAUGGAAUUCUCUCCAAGAAGCAUUCUUUGAGUCGUCUCAAAUUACAGAAGAUGGAGGGCUCACCUUCCUCUACAUCUGUGUAGUUAAAUCUGUAGACUGUAAAUAUUCUCUCAGGUUGCUAAGUGAGUUUAUUUUGCACCGUUCCUGGCAUAAAACCAUUCACCAGCUUUUCUGUAAAGUCAUGUGCUUCAUGACUAGCAAUCCCCAAAGCCCAGAUUUUUGUAGCUGGAUUAUAGCCUGUUUGGCAAAUUAAUAUCCUGUGAUAUAGUUAUGAGGAAAAGCUGGACUGCCACAGACAGGCAAGUUUUCACCCUUUUGACCACCUCAGUCUCCAGCUUCCUGCUUACCAAAUAUGCUAUGUGUCUAGAGAUCUAUUCUCCUGUCAGCACCAGCAAAGCAGGGAUUAAGAGCUUUUUUUCAGUCAGUCUCCAUGGCAUCCUGUAUAUUUUGGAGAAAAUCUUUUGUCGUAGCAACUGAAAAGAGAGAGCCACAAAGGUGCUGUGAGUAUGGUGUGAUGCACUCAACCUUUUUGCUUGGUGCUUUCAUAUAUAUGGAAGACUUGGCCUUGUAACUGACAUUACAUUUCCUGAAUUAAUUUUGUUUCAUACUUCCUUUGAUUCCACAUGGUUAAGGCAUUCUGACCGCUGUUGUACUGUGAGCUGACAAGCUUUACAAAAUAACACUAGUCCUCAAAAACAUUUCUUGUGCAUCAACAGCUGAAUUACCUACUCUUUUCUGUACAGAGAUGCACUCUCUUAUACUCUAAGUAAUCUCUG